rnacentral:rRNA from 1 species
AGUAAUCGUGGAUCAGCAUGCCACGGUGAAUACGUUCCCGGGUCUUGUACACACCGCCCGUCACACCAUGGGAGCUGGUAACACCCGAAGUCAGUAGUCUAACCGCAAGGAGGACGCUGCCGAAGGUGGGAUUAGCGACUGGGGUGAAGUCGUAACAAGGUAAC